CCUACGGGAGGCAGCAGUGAGGAAUAUUGGUCAAUGGGCGCGAGCCUGAACCAGCCAAGUAGCGUGAAGGAUGACUGCCCUACGGGUUGUAAACCUCUUUUAUAAGGGAAUAAAGUGCGGGACGUGUCCCGUUUUGUAUGUACUUUAUGAAUAAGGAUCGGCUAACUCCGUGCCAGCAGCCGCGGUAAUACGGAGGAUCCGAGCGUUAUCCGGAUUUAUUGGGUUUAAAGGGUGCGUAGGCGGCCUUUUAAGUCAGCGGUGAAAGUCUGUGGCUCAACCGUAAAAUUGCCGUUGAAACUGGGAGGCUUGAGUAUGUUUGAGGCAGGCGGAAUGCGUGGUGUAGCGGUGAAAUGCUUAGAUAUCACGAAGAACCCCGAUUGCGAAGGCAGCCUGCCAAGCCAUGACUGACGCUGAUGCACGAAAGCGUGGGGAUCAAACAGGAUUAGAUACCCGAGUAGUC
rnacentral:rRNA from 1 species